rnacentral:rRNA from 1 species
ACAUGCCUACAACAUAGCAUUAAUGAAUUGGAUCCCAUUAGAACCUUGUAGUUAAGCAUGCUCGGGCUAGAGUAGUGUUGGGAUGGGUGACCUCCCAGAAAAUCCUAGUGUUUUACAUGCC